rnacentral:rRNA from 1 species
UGAGGAACAUGACCUUCGGCGGGGGAGUAGCCGGCCCAACGGCCGGGUAAUACCGCGUACGACCACAUGGGGACAUCCCUGAGUGGUGAAAGCAGCAAUGCGCCGAUGGAGUGCCUCGCGGCCUAUCAGCUAGUUGGUGAGGUAACGGCUCACCAAGGCGACGACGGGUAGCUGGUCUGAGAGGAUGGCCAGCCACAUUGGGACUGAGACACGGUCCAGACCUCUACGGGGAG